rnacentral:rRNA from 1 species
GACGAAGGUGGCAAGCGUUACUCGGAAUUACUAGGCGUAAAGCGUGGGCAGGCGGCUCGUCAAGUCUGUUGUGAAAGCUCCCGGCUCAACUGGGAGAGGCCAAUGGAUACUGGCGGGCUUGAAUCGGGGAGAGGUCACUGGAAUUCCUGGUGUAGCGGUGAAAUGCGUAGAGAUCAGGAGGAACACCUAUGGCGAAAGCAGGUGACUGGACCCGUAUUGACGCUCAUCCACGAAAGCUAGGGGAGCAAACAGGAUUAGAAACCCCCGUAGUCC